rnacentral:rRNA from 1 species
GAUGAACGCUGGCGGCGUGCCUAAUACAUGCAAGUCGAGCGAACAGACGAGGAGCUUGCUCCUCUGACGUUAGCGGCGGACGGGUGAGUAACACGUGGAUAACCUACCUAUAAGACUGGGAUAACUUCGGGAAACCGGAGCUAAUACCGGAUAAUAUAUUGAACCGCAUGGUUCAAUAGUGAAAGACGGUUUUGCUGUCACUUAUAGAUGGAUCCGCGCCGCAUUAGCUAGUUGGUAAGGUAACGGCUUACCAAGGCAACGAUGCGUAGCCGACCUGAGAGGGUGAUCGGUCACACUGGAACUGAGACACGGUCCAGACUCCUACGGGAGGCAGCAGUAGGGAAUCUUCCGCAAUGGGCGAAAGCCUGACGGAGCAACGCCGCGUGAGUGAUGAAGGUCUUCGGAUCGUAAAACUCUGUUAUUAGGGAAGAACAAAUGUGUAAGCAACUAUGCACGUCUUGACGGUACCUAAUCAGAAAGCCACGGCUAACUACGUG